GUGAAAUGAUGAUGACGUUCAUCCAUUCUCCAAGCAUGCUGCCCUGUCCUCCUGGUACCUUGGGACUCCUGUUCUGGGGGCUCUGAGCUACGCAGCCACCAUGUGCCCUGAGGUCUUCCAGCGUUCUGUUGGGGACAGCGGGUGAGUGUGGGGCUUGCAGUCAGGAACAGGAUGGUGGCAGCUAAGAUGGCACCCCAUUCUGUUUGGGGUCCCAUUGGCCUAAGACGAAUGCCGAUAGUCUGAUCAC